CACCCCCUCCGCCGCCUCCCGUGCCCGCACCGCCGCCGCUGGAAGCCAGGAAACUGUUGACCAGGCUGUUGGCAGCCAAAUACAGCAAAAGUUUCCCCUGCACUGACUGUUGCAGUAUCUCUAGCCCUGACCUGAAGGCACCACCAUCUAGUGGGAUGAGAAGGUUUCUGUUGCUGAUGGCUUCAUGUGUGAGUCCCUGAUGGCAUAAAGCAAUUUUGUCUCUUUGAAAAACAUACAAAGUGAAGCAGAUGCACUGAGCAUGUGGAAAUGAGAAAAAAAUUGCCUAAGAAAUAAUAAACACCUGUAUUCUCUCAGAUCUUAAUUGUUCAUAAGGUUUUGGAGUACGGUUUUCAACUACAGCAUUAAAGAUAACUACAAGUAAAUAUCUGAAGACCCAGCAGAUGUACAGCAUCAGAGAGGAAGAAUGGACUUGUGGUUAAGACACAGGGGUGGUCAAGAAGAGCCGAGCCCUAUUUCUGAUUCUACUUCCUAUUUCUGGGGCAACUCAUUUAUACCUGCCUGUGCCUCAGUUCCCUCACCUGUAAAAUUGAGUAAUAUCAAAUCACACAGACAAUUUGGAAGAUUAAAUUGAUUCAUGGAUCACUUUGAGAUUCUCAAAUGGAA